rnacentral:rRNA from 1 species
CCUACGGGAGGCAGCAGUGGGGAAUAUUGCGCAAUGGGCGAAAGCCUGACGCAGCGACGCCGCGUGAGGGAUGAAGGUCUUAGGAUUGUAAAACUCUGUCAGCAGGGAAGUAAGGUCACUGUGCUAAUCAGCAGUGAAUUUACGGUACCUGCAAAGGAAGCACAGGUUAAUUCCGUGCCAGCGGCCGCGGUAAUACGGGGGGUGCGGGGGUUAAUCGGAUUUACUGGGUUUAAAGGGUGCGUAGGGGGUUUUUUAAGUUUGUGGGUAAACGUCGGGGCUUCACCUUGAGUUGCCAUUCAUACUGGAAGACUUGAGUUCAGACGAGGUAGGCGGAAUAAGUUAAGUAGCGGUGAAAUGCUUAGAUAUAACUUAGAACUCCGAUAGCGAAGGCAGCUUACCAGACUGCGACUGACGCUGAAGCACGAGAGCGUGGGUAGCGAACAGGAUUAGAUACCCGAGUAGUC